UACGAAGGGGGCUAGCGUUGCUCGGAAUCACUGGGCGUAAAGGGUGCGUAGGCGGCCUGCUAAGUCGGACGUGAAAUCCCUCGGCUCAACCGGGGAACUGCGUCCGAUACUGGUGGGCUCGAAUCCGGGAGAGGGAUGUGGAAUUCCAGGUGUAGCGGUGAAAUGCGUAGAUAUCUGGAGGAACACCGGUGGCGAAGGCGGCAUCCUGGACCGGUAUUGACGCUGAUGCGCGAAAGCCAGGGGAGCAAACGGG
rnacentral:rRNA from 1 species